rnacentral:rRNA from 1 species
CGGAGGAAGGUGGGGAUGACGUCAAAUCAUCAUGCCCCUUACGGCCUGGGCUACACACGUGCUACAAUGGUCGGUACAAAGGGUUGCCAAGCCGCGAGGUGGAGCUAAUCCCAUAAAACCGAUCGUAGUCCGGAUCGCAGUCUGCAACUCGACUGCGUGAAGUCGGAAUCGCUAGUAAUCGUGAAUCAGAAUGUCACGGUGAAUACGUUCCCGGGCCUU